UUUCAGAAUGAAUUUAUGAAGCCAUUUGUAAUUGUCAUGCGUAAGAGUAGUGCCGUUGAGAUCAGAGAAUUAAUAAUCAGAUGUGUCUCGCAAAUGGUUUUAUCUCGUGUCAACAAUGUAAAAUCAGGAUGGAAGAGCAUGUUCAUGGUUUUCACAACAGCGGCUUAUGACGACCACAAAAACAUUGUACUCUUGGCCUUUGAAAUAAUGGAAAAGAUUAUUCGAGACUACUUCCCAUACAUCACUGAGACUGAAACAACCACCUUUACAGAUUGUGUAAAUUGCCUAAUUGCAUUCACAAAUAGUCGAUUCAACAAAGACAUUAGCCUCAAUGCUAUAGGCUUUCUUCGGUUCUGUGCUAAAAAACUUGCAGAGGGAGAUCUGGGAUCCUCAGCAAGGAACAAGGAUAAGGAAACCCCCGGA
rnacentral:misc_RNA from 1 species